GCUUGGGGCAUUGCCCUAUGUGACUGAUGGCCACACACCUCUCUGUGGAGGGGCUGUAACUGUGACAAGAGCCAGGGGCCCAAGGGGCAUGGCCGAAUGCCUGCUGUCCCUUACAGGUGAAACUCUUCAGGCCUUCAGCAUCAAAUGGGGACUGCUGAGACAUUCAUUCUAAGCCAAACAGUUGUCAGGAUCUCAGCUCUGCAGUAUGAAUGCAACUCUUGUUGAAGUACCCAAAGUAUACCAUGUUUGUAGUUCUCUGAUCAACUCUGGUCAAUUCAAGAUUGUUGGUGUUGGCUGGGUGUUGGGAGGAAAGCAUCGAGUUUGAAGCAACUCACACAGACAUCGCAGGACAAGCCUUUUGUGUUUAUAUUGGGAUGGGUCUACAAUACUUUUGUCCUCCCUCCUUUUAAGUUUAAGGAUGUCAAAUCCUGAAAGGUGGGAAAAAUUCCCUUAUACCAAUCUCAUGCUCCUUCUUCAGUCUGGCACUCAGAUUCAGCCAGGAGUAGUGUGGAGGCUCAGAAGCUAGACCCUCCAGAUUCCCAGCCCUCUGCCAAGUGCAGGUCACUGACCAAAUGCUUUCACGCCUGCUGGAGAUAUCGGACCCUGAAAUGGAUGAAAAUAUUCAAUAAAGUUGUUUUUAUUAUGCCCC